UACGAAGGGGGCUAGCGUUGCUCGGAAUCACUGGGCGUAAAGCGCACGUAGGCGGACUCUUAAGUCGGUGGUGAAAUCCUGGAGCUCAACUCCAGAACUGCCUUCGAUACUGAGAGUCUUGAGUCCGGGAGAGGUGAGUGGAACUGCGAGUGUAGAGGUGAAAUUCGUAGAUAUCGUUUGGAACGCCAAUGGUGAAAACAGGUUGCUGGGAGUGUGCUGACGCUGAGACACGAAAGCCAGGGGAGCGAACGGG
rnacentral:rRNA from 1 species